rnacentral:rRNA from 1 species
GAUGAACGCUAGCUACAGGCUUAACACAUGCAAGUCGAGGGGAAACGACAUCGAAAGCUUGCUUUUGAUGGGCGUCGACCGGCGCACGGGUGAGUAACGCGUAUCCAACCUGCCCAUCACUUGGGAAUAACCUUGCGAAAGUAAGACUAAUACCCAAUGACAUCCCACGAAGACAUCUGAAUGGGAUUAAAGAUUUAUCGGUGAUGGAUGGGGAUGCGUCUGAUUAGCUUGUUGGCGGGGUAACGGCCCACCAAGGCAACGAUCAGUAGGGGUUCUGAGAGGAAGGUCCCCCACAUUGGAACUGAGACACGGUCCAAACUCCUACGGGGGGCAGCAGUGAGGAAUAUUGGUCAAUGGGCGAGAGCCUGAACCAGCCAAGUAGCGUGCAGGAUGACGGCCCUAUGGGUUGUAAACUGCUUUUAGAAGGGAAUAAAGUGGGUCUCGUGAGACUUUUUGCAUGUACCUUAUGAAUAAGGACCGGCUAAUUCCGCG